rnacentral:rRNA from 1 species
AACGCGAAGAACCUUACCAGGCCUUGACAUGCUAGGGAACCCGGGUGAAAGCCUGGGGUGCCCCGCGAGGGGAGCCCUAGCACAGGUGCUGCAUGGCCGUCGUCAGCUCGUGCCGUGAGGUGUUGGGUUAAGUCCCGCAACGAGCGCAACCCCCGCCGUUAGUUGCCAGCGGUUCGGCCGGGCACUCUAACGGGACUGCCCGCGAAAGCGGGAGGAAGGAGGGGACGACGUCUGGUCAGCAUGGCCCUUACGGCCUGGGCGACACACGUGCUACAAUGCCCACUACAAAGCGAGGCCACCCGGCAACGGGGAGCUAAUCGCAAAAAGGUGGGCCCAGUUCGGAUUGGGGUCUGCAACCCGACCCCAUGAAGCCGG